rnacentral:rRNA from 1 species
CCAUGAUUCAGCGGCGGACGGGUGAGUAAUGCCUAGGAAUCUGCCUGGUAGUGGGGGACAACGUUUCGAAAGGAACGCUAAUACCGCAUACGUCCUACGGGAGAAAGUGGGGGAUCUUCGGACCUCACGCUAUCAGAUGAGCCUAGGUCGGAUUAGCUAGUUGGUGAGGUAAAGGCUCACCAAGGCGACGAUCCGUAACUGGUCUGAGAGGAUGAUCAGUCACACUGGAACUGAGACACGGUCCAGACUCCUACGGGAGGCAGCAGUGGGGAAUAUUGGACAAUGGGCGAAAGCCUGAUCCAGCCAUGCCGCGUGUGUGAAGAAGGUCUUCGGAUUGUAAAGCACUUUAAGUUGGGAGGAAGGGCAGUAAGUUAAUACCUUGCUGUUUUGACGUUACCAACAGAAUAAGCACCGGCUAACUUCGUGCCAGCAGCCGCGGUAAUACGAAGGGUGCAAGCGUUAAUCGGAAUUACUGGGCGUAAAGCGCGCGUAGGUGGUUCGUUAAUUUGGAUGUGAAAGCCCCGGGCUCAACCUGGGAACUGCAUCCAAAACUGGCGAGCUAGAGUAUGGCAGAGGGUGGUGGAAUUUCCUGUGUAGCGGUGAAAUGCUUUUUAUAGGAAGGAACAUUUUUGGCAAAGGCGACCACCUGG